rnacentral:rRNA from 1 species
AUACGUAGGGUGCGAGCGUUAAUCGGAAUUACUGGGCGUAAAGCGUGCGCAGGCGGUUUUGUAAGACAGUGGUGAAAUCCCCGGGCUCAACCUGGGAACUGCCAUUGUGACUGCAAGGCUGGAGUGCGGCAGAGGGGGAUGGAAUUCCGCGUGUAGCAGUGAAAUGCGUAGAUAUGCGGAGGAACACCGAUGGCGAAGGCAAUCCCCUGGGCCUGCACUGACGCUCAUGCACGAAAGCGUGGGGAGCAAACAGGAUUAGAUACCCUGGUAGUCCACGCCCUAAACGAUGUCAACUGGUUGUUGGGAAUUUAUUUUCUCAGUAACGAAGCUAACGCGUGAAGUUGACCGCCUGGGGAGUACGGCCGCAAGGUUAAAACUCAAAUGAAUUGACGG